rnacentral:lncRNA from 1 species
AAAAACAUCACGAAUACGAUCUGAUAUGUACCUGGCCCAAGUUUCACAUAACUUAUUCGCACAAUCCUCUUUAGUUAGCCCAAGAGAAGCUCCAUUAGUCAAGCAUCUCACCCAUGCCACCCUGAAACUCCUCUCUUGAUCGCAUGCACUCCUUUACCUCCUCAGCAAUAGGCCAUAGAUUGAUCUAUCAAUUUCCGAGCUUCUUAAUUUAGCCGCCACUGUUUUUGAGUCUGCUCCAAGAUAAGCUUUGCCAUGUCCAAUUCACGUGCAAGCUGAGCUGCCCAUCGAAUACACCGGACGACAUUCCAUUAUGGAAAUCUGGUAGAGAGGUGAACAUCUACAAGGCUAUAAAUCAAAACGAACAAAUCAACUAUUCAUAGAUACCAAAUUUAAGAAGCU